UACGGGGGGGGCAAGCGUUGUUCGGAAUUACUGGGCGUAAAGAGCUCGUAGGCGGUCUGUUACGUCCGCUGUGAAAACCCAGGGCUUAACCCUGGGCUUGCAGUGGAUACGGGUAGACUAGAGGCAGGUAGGGGAGAAUGGAAUUCCCGGUGUAGCGGUGAAAUGCGCAGAUAUCGGGAAGAACACCCGUGGCGAAGGCGGUUCUCUGGGACGGUACUGACGCUGAGACGCGAAAGCGUGGGGAGCGAACAGG
rnacentral:rRNA from 1 species